AACGAACGCUGGCGGCAGGCCUAACACAUGCAAGUCGAGCGCACCCUUCGGGGUGAGCGGCGGACGGGUGAGUAACGCGUGGGAACGUGCCCUUCUCUGCGGAAUAGCCUCGGGAAACUGAGAGUAAUACCGCAUACGCCCUUUGGGGAAAGAUUUAUCGGAGAAGGAUCGGCCCGCGUUGGAUUAGGUAGUUGGUGGGGUAAUGGCCCACCAAGCCGACGAUCCAUAGCUGGUUUGAGAGGAUGAUCAGCCGCACUGGGACUGAGACACGGCCCAGACUCCUACGGGAGGCAGCAGUGGGGAAUCUUAGACAAUGGGGGCAACCCUGAUCUAGCCAUGCCGCGUGAGUGAUGAAGGCCUUAGGGUUGUAAAGCUCUUUCAGCUGGGAAGAUAAUGACGGUACCAGCAGAAGAAGCCCCGGCUAACUCCGUG
rnacentral:rRNA from 1 species